GACAUCACCGUCUACAUCGUCAACUCCUCAAAAUGCUCAGUCAAAAGAAACAUCUAAAAAAUAUAGUUCGAUUCCCUCUAUUGCACUUACACCAAGGAAAAGGAAAAUGCAGGAACAGUUAGACGGUCAGAAAAAAAAAAUUAAAAGGCUCCAAGCUAAAAAUCUUUUUUUAAAGAAAAAAGUUGCUGGGUUAGAAGAAAUUCUUCAGAGUCUGGAUGAAAAAUCUUUGAUAGAUAAAGAAGAAAGGAUGGUCCUUGAAAAAAUUGGUGUUGAAGAAACAGAACUUAUUAGGCGUCAACUAAAGAAAUGUAA
rnacentral:misc_RNA from 1 species